rnacentral:tRNA from 1 species
GGGAUGUAGAUCAGUGGUAGAGCACCUGCCUAGCAUGCAUGAAGCCCAGGGUUCAAUCCCCAGCAGUGCCA